rnacentral:rRNA from 1 species
UUACGGGAGGCAGCAGUGGGGAAUUUUGGACAAUGGGCGCAAGCCUGAUCCAGCCAUGCCGCGUGCGGGAAGAAGGCCUUCGGGUUGUAAACCGCUUUAGUCCGGGAAAAAUGUUUCCGUAGUUAAUACCUAUGGGAAUUGAUGGUACUGGAAGAAUAAGCACCGGCUAACUACGUGCCAGCAGCCGCGGUAAUACGUAGGGUGCAAGCGUUAAUCGGAAUUACUGGGCGUAAAGCGUGCGCAGGCGGUUUCAUAAGACAGAUGUGAAAGCCCCGGGCUUAACCUGGGAAUGGCAUUUGUGACUGUGAGGCUAGAGUGUGUCAGAGGGGGGUGGAAUUCCGCGUGUAGCAGUGAAAUGCGUAGAUAUGCGGAGGAACACCGAUGGCGAAGGCAGCCCCCUGGGAUAACACUGACGCUCAUGCACGAAAGCGUGGGGAGCAAACAGGAUUAGAAACCCCGGUAGUCCG